rnacentral:rRNA from 1 species
GACGAACGCUGGCGGCGUGCUUAACACAUGCAAGUCGAACGGUGAAAGCGGAGCUUGCUCCGCUGGAUCAGUGGCGAACGGGUGAGUAACACGUGGGCAACCUGCCGCUCACUUCGGAAUAACUCCGGGAAACCGGGGCUAAUACCGGAUAUGACCUCCUUGGGCAUCCUUGGAGGUGGAAAGUUUUUCGGUGAGGGAUGGUCCCGCGGCCUAACAGCUUGUUGGUGAGGUAGUGGCACACCAAGGCGACGACGGGUAGCCGGCCUGAGAGGGCGACCGGCCACACUGGGACUGAGACACGGCCCAGACUCCUACGGGAGGCAGCAGUGGGGAAUAUUGCGCAAUGGGCGAAAGCCUGACGCAGCAACGCCGCGUGCGGGAUGACGGCCUUCGGGUUGUAAACCGCUUUCAGCAGGGAAGAAGCCGCAAGGUGACGGUACCUGCAGAAGAAGCACCGGCUAACUACGUGCCAGCAGCCGCGGUAA